GGGUAGGCAAUUUUCUAUGUUUUUUGCCCCUGGGGCCUCAAAUUUCCUAAAUCAUUCUGCUGUUUCUAGCAAUUUGGAAUAUUUAGUACAUAUUCAGGAUAGAACACACUAUUGUAAGUUUUCUUGAGAUAUUUUUGUUUUUCUAGCUUGUAUUUAUUAUGCCGUGGUGACAAAAAAGCAUAUUUAGGUGUUGCGGCUUACUUU
rnacentral:lncRNA from 1 species